UUGGGAGCUCACUGGCUUUGAAGUUAUGGGAAUUCCGAAGUUAAGCGAGUUGAGGCUAGAGCAAUCCAUGGAUGGGUGACCCAUUGGGAAGUUGCUCGUGAGUUCCCAAA
rnacentral:rRNA from 1 species